rnacentral:rRNA from 1 species
GACGAACCGUCCAAACGUUAUUCGGAAUCACUGGGCUUACAGAGUUCGUAGGCGGUCUGGAAAGUUGGGUGUGAAAUCCCUCGGCCUAACCGAGGAACUGCGCUUGAAACUACCAGACUCGAGGGGGAUAGAGGAAAGCGGAACUGAUGGUGGAGCGGUGAAAUGCGUUGAUAUCAUCAGGAACACCGGUGGCGAAGGCGGCUUCUGGGUCUUACCUGACGCUGAGGAACGAAAGCCAGGGGAGCGAACGGG